AAUUUCAGCUAAAAAAGUCAUGAACAUAAAAGUUAUAGAACUCAUCAAGACAUACAACUUUUAUUUUGAUUAUUUCUUCAUCUGACAAAGUUAUAGUAAUAUUGUUCACAAAAUUUGCAUAUCUCUCUUAGAGUUUAUAAAAACAUAUGAGAGAUAUGUAAAUUUUGUGAACAAUAUUAUUAUCACUUUGUCGGAUGAAAAAAUAAUCAAAAUAAAAGUUAUAGAUCUUGAUGAGUUAUACAACUUUGUUGUUGAUGACUUUUUCAGUUCAAAUC
rnacentral:pre_miRNA from 1 species